rnacentral:rRNA from 1 species
GAUGAACGCUAGCGGAUGGCCUACUAAAUGCAAGUCGAACGGACCGCAAGGUUAGUGGCGAACGGGUGCGUAACGCGUAAACAAUCUGCCCCGAUUUGGGGGAUAGCCCGGCGAAAGCUGGGGUAAACCCGCGUAGUUUCAGAGGGUGGCAUCAUUUUCUGAAUAAACAUUUAUGGAAUCGGGUGGGGUUUGCGUCUGAUUAGCUGGCCGGCGGGGUAACGGCCCACCAUGGCGAUGAUCAGUAGGGGCUUCGAGAGGAGAGUCCCCCACAUGGGGACUCAGACCCGGGCCCAACUCCUACGGGAGGCAGCAGUAGGGAAUAUUAGUCAAGGGACGGAAGUCUGAACCAGCCAUGCCGCGUGCAGGAAGAAGGCGCGCAGCGUUGGAAACUGCUUUUGAGAGAGAAGAAAGUGCAGGAUGCGUCCUGUUUUGCCGGUACCUUUCGAAUAAGCACCGGCUAACUCCGUGCCAGCAGCCGCGGUAACAC